UGCACAUAUAUUGUUGACCAACUUUGAAGAAAUUAAUAUAUAUAAUGGAAAAUUAAGGGAGGCCAAGACAUAAAGUAACUAUGUGCCUGCAGGUCAUAUACCAGAAGAACUACUGCUGCUCUCAGCAGAAGGAAACAACAUGGACUGAAGCCACUUCCUGCUCCUGACUAACUGUAUGGACAUGGGCAAGCUGUGUGAUCUCUGUGAACCUCCUAGUCUUCAUUUCUAAAAUGGGUGAGGAUAACGACACCAAAAUGAUAGGAUUACGUUGAGAAUUACAAACAAUAAUAUAUAUUUUGUUAGCUGAUAGUGACUUAAGUUGAGCAUUCAACUUAUGAUUUAUGUAUUGUUAUGUCUAUUAAUAAUAUUAG
rnacentral:lncRNA from 1 species